rnacentral:rRNA from 4 species
UGACCUCGAAUCAGGUAGGGAUACCCGCUGAACUUAAGCAUAUCAAUAAGCGGAGGA